AGAUCAUCUACGACUAUCUUAAGAACAAAUCAAAAGGAUAAGAAAAUGGCAGAAAGUGGCGUUCGAGAAUACGGAGAAUGUAAGUAUUUAGCCUGUGUGUUCAGGACGAGCAACAUAAAACUAGUGGAUUGUUUAAAUACAAAUUGAGUUAUAAUGAAUAUUGAUAAAUUAACUUGCAUUUUGAACGGACUUUCGAAUUAACAAAGCAAGCUUUAAAUGGUAGGAGAUCAAGUUGUAAUAUAUUUUUAUACGACCGCAAACAAAUUGUAUCCUGUCGUCAUCGUUCGAAGACAGUUAGUUUCAGGACAAUAGCUUUAAUAUUAGUGAAUAGAAUUCUAGGAAAUUUAAACACAAGGUUUAUAACCACAAAAGGAAGGUCGGGGUUAAUUUUGGAGGUUAUGGUCAAAAAGGGGCCAAAAUAAGCAUUUUUCUAGUUUCCAAACAAUAACUUAUGUUUAAGUAAAUGAAUCUCUCUGAAAAUAAACCACAAGUUUUCAUACCACAAAUGGAUGGUUAUGAUUGACUUUGGGGUUUAUGGCCUAACCUUUUUAGGCAUUAGAGGACUAAAGGAUUUCCUGGUUAUUGGAUAAGUAAGACAAUUUAAAAGCAGUUUAAGGGAGGUAAUUCAAACACAUUCAAAUUACAAUGUUGUGUAUGCUUGGAUUACCUCCCUUCUACUGCUUGUAAAUUAUGUAUAAAGAAAUGUUGUAUUGUCUUGAUGUGAUUAGCUGUCAAUUUAUUUUUAGAAGAUACUAUUGAUUAAUAUUAAUUUUAGCCAUGAUAAUGUAAGUAAUUUUCUAUUUUUUUCUCCAAUACGCAACAGCAUAGUGUAUAAUUGCUCAAAAGCAAAAAAGAAAUAAAUUUAAUAUAAAUUCAAAUCAUACAUGUCAUAUAGCCAAUUCUAAGUUCUUUGACUACAGUCUUUUAAAAUUUGUGUGUUACCUUUUUACAUGUACAAUAUCGAAAAGAAAACAUACGCAUAGUUGUAUAUAUGGUGUAACAAACUAACAUUUGAUUCAUUCUACUUUCAAUUGUAGCCAUCAUUUUCGAGGACAAAUAAAUUAACAGCUGGAGCUUACAAAAUAUUCCAAGAUAAGCAUCUACUCAGUGAUGACGAUGAGAAAAAGUCAAGAAAAAGAGGAAUCGGAAGACUCUGAUGAAGAUUUCGACGGCUGAUACGGUGCUUUUUGUCCGCAAUUCGCUUUUUGUCCGCUUUUGCUUUUUGUCCGAUAAUUUUGCUUUUUGUCCGAAACUUU
rnacentral:lncRNA from 1 species